ACCAGUUGUUCUGCCAAGGGCAUCGCUGGGUAGCUAUGUGCGGACGGGAUAAGUGCUGAAAGCAUCUAAGCAUGAAGCCCCCCUCAAGAUGAGAUUUCCCAUUCCGCAAGGAAGUAAGAUCCCUGAAAGAUGAUCAGGUUGAUAGGUCUGAGGUGGAAGUGUGGCGACACAUGGAGCUGACAGAUACUAAUCGAUCGAGGACUUAACCUA
rnacentral:rRNA from 1 species